rnacentral:rRNA from 1 species
AGAGUUUGAUCCUGGCUCAGGAUAAACGCUGGCGGCGUGCCUAACACAUGCAAGUCGAACGCCCUUGGCAACAAGGGAGUGGCGGACGGGUGAGGAACACGUGGGUACCUGCCCUGAGGUGAGGAAUACCGGCGAGAAAUCGCCGACAAUACCGCAUAGCCUUCGUAAGAAGGAAAGCUCGCAAGAGCGCCACAGGAGGG